rnacentral:rRNA from 1 species
AGCGAACGCUGGCGGCAGGCCUAACACAUGCAAGUCGAACGAACUCUUCGGAGUUAGUGGCGGACGGGUGAGUAACACGUGGGAACGUGCCUUUUGGUUCGGAAUAACUCAGGGAAACUUGUGCUAAUACCGAAUGUGCCCUUCGGGGGAAAGAUUUUUCGCCAUUAGAGCGGCCCGCGUCUGAUUAGCUAGUUGGUGAGGUAACGGCUCACCAAGGCGACGAUCAGUAGCUGGUCUGAGAGGAUGACCAGCCACACUGGGACUGAGACACGGCCCAGACUCCUACGGGAGGCAGCAGUGGGGAAUCUUGCGCAAUGGGCGAAAGCCUGACGCAGCCAUGCCGCGUGAAUGAUGAAGGUCUUAGGAUUGUAAAAUUCUUUCACCGGGGACGAUAAUGACGGUACCCGGAGAAGAAGCCCCGGCUAACUUCGUG